rnacentral:rRNA from 1 species
UACGUAUGGUGCAAGCGUUAUCCGGAUUUACUGGGCGUAAAGGGAGCGCAGGCGGCGCGCCAAGUCUGAUGUGAAACCCCGGGGCUCAACCCCGGGCACGCAUUGGAAACUGGCGGGCUGGAGUGCCGGAGAGGUAAGCGGAAUUCCUAGUGUAGCGGUGAAAUGCGUAGAUAUUAGGAGGAACACCAGUGGCGAAGGCGGCUUACUGGACGGCAACUGACGCUGAGGCUCGAAAGCGUGGGGAGCAAAUAGG